UCCAACCAAUGUAGCAGCCGUGUCCUGCCUAGCGUGGGUCAGAAGUUCUUGAAUGAGUCCAUGUUAGCCAGGCAGACAGGUUACUGCGCACCUGGGCUGGGUCACUUGUGUUUCCUGGGAUCAUGUGAUGCCAGAGGAGGAUGGUGGAACCAGUUUUUCUGCUCUGGCAGUGGAACUGGGGAGGAGACAGUACAAAAUGACAAGACAGGAACUGCAGAGCUACUGCUACCAACUAGAAACUUGGGAGGCCGCUUGCCUUUUUCCCUGCCAGGUGUUCUGAAUCGACGUGAGAGAGCCAGGUAGCUGCUGCAGGAUGUCUUCCAUCUUAAAGAUGUUCGGAAGAGAAGACAAGAAGGAUCAGGGAAAAGAGAAGGAGAAAGACAAG